rnacentral:rRNA from 1 species
UACGUAGGGUGCAAGCGUUGUCCGGAAUUAUUGGGCGUAAAGAGCUCGUAGGCGGUUUGUCGUGUCUGCUGUGAAAACUCAGGGCUUAACUCUGAGCCUGCAGUGGGUACGGGCAGACUAGAGUGCGGUAGGGGAGACUGGAAUUCCUGGUGUAGCGGUGAAAUGCGCAGAUAUCAGGAGGAACACCGGUGGCGAAGGCGGGUCUCUGGGCCGUAACUGACGCUGAGGAGCGAAAGCAUGGGGAGCGAACAGG